rnacentral:lncRNA from 12 species
UCUUUUUUUUCCCCCCCCCCCCCCCCCCCCCCCCCCCCCCCCCCCCCCCCCCCCCCCCCCCCCCCGGGUUUUUUUUUCUUUUUUUUUUUUUUUCUUUCUUUUAAAAAAAAUUUUUAAUAUAUAUUUAUCUAUUUUGUUUGUUUUGUUACAGCAUCAUUUUCUUGUUGUUUGGUUGCUGCCUGGUUCCUUACAAUAAUCGAUGGAGAUGAUAGAUACCGUGUUCCAGUUGUUCCAGAAUUAAAGCUGUGUUUAACUCAGAGGAACUCCAAAAGUAAACAGCCAGGGAAGAGCUGGCUCAGGGAGGAAUUGCCUGUGGAUUGAAAUCUUUCCUGGGAAAUCUGCAGCCAUGAGGAAAUAUUUAUGGCUGAUCCAUAAACAGCCGUGCAGGAGGUUUUAUAGCAGGAGCCAUGGGUUCCAUCCAUGUCCUGCUGACACCAGGAGGAUCUGGGCUGGGAACACCAGACCUGUCUGCAAGGCAUGGAGAGCUGGUGGCCAGUGGCACUGCAGCAUGUCCAGGUGUAACCCUGGGCCAGGAGCGUGGCAGGAAUGUGUGAGCUCCCUCACGCAGCUCCUGCCCACCCCUGUCAGCACAAACUGCUUCCAGGAAACGGGCUGGGAGAGGAAACAAGCACUAAUGAAGAAUCCCUUGGUGAAAAAUGUGUUUCUCCAACCGUUAGAUUAUUUUGUCCUUGAGAGGCAGGGGAGGAGAUAACGAAGCAGCCUCGCUGCAUUCCAGCCUUGGCUUUGGGGACACUGGUGCUGGGCUGUCCUCGGGCCCUUUUGGGGGGUGCCACAUCUCCCCCCUUGCUCCUGCCAAGCCCCAAAGGCUGUGGGAGUGAAACUUCUCCUCUGUGGCUGUGUGCACUGAGCAGAGUCGGGGUGAACUCU